GUAACCUGUGAAGAUGUCAGUCAACGGCUCGUGUAAAACAGCUUCCAGCGGCUCAAAGCCUUCAAGAAUAAUUGUUGUGGGAAAAUAUUGAAGCUUGUCCAAUGCCCGCGAUUUCUCAACGCAUCGUCAUCUUCGAUAGGAUUUCGUGUCUCCGCCGAUCUCUCUUCUAUCAUUGGCUCCGUCAGGGCCCUUCGAGUGCCCGUCCGACUGCCCGAUUCAUCUCUAUACACUUUCGUAUUCUACUAAAACUCGACUCUGUUCUGUUUUGCCCGCUGCUCAGUGAUUUUGAAAUUUUCCCGCCAUGCCAGCCGACUUCCGAUUGGUCCGAUGGCAUGGUCCUGUGUAGUGCGGGAUUCUCGCGAGAAACUACGAGGAUCGUAGGUCCUGCUGACGACACAGUGAAACAAAAACAAAUUCGUAUACAGGCAGUUGGAGUGAGAGGUAGAUAAUAUCAGAUCGGAACCGUGAGGUUUUGGUCGGUCGGUCGGUCGGCUGGCUGGUUGGUCGGUCUUGUCGAGAGUGCGUGUGUGUCUGACGUGUGGUCGUGCUGGUCAAGUGGACGUGUGGUGCGCUAGAUUGGUGUGGUGGUGUUGCCUGGUGUGACUGUGACGGUGGGCGCCUGCGACCGCAAGGAACGAAUCGUAGCGAUUGUUGUGUGAGGAAAAAGAAGACGACGACGAGAAGAAGAUCGAGCAGCACCUAAAUCGUAAAGGAGAUGUCGGACGUGUACAUCCAAGUGUCGGAAGACGAAGCCGAGGAGCCGAUUGAGCUGCCCGGCGAGCCGGAUGGUAGCCUGCUACUUACCACCGUUACGGCCCAGUUCCCCAAUGCGUGCGGGCUCAAGUACCGUAACCCCGACACGGGAGCGUUCCGCGGGGUGCGGUUGCUCGAGGGCCGCCUGCACGCCCCCGAAGGCGGAUGGGGCUCUCGGGUUUUCUACUGUGUAGUUCCCAAAGAGACAAAACGUCGUUCCGAUGAAUCUCCUGGGGGUGGGGGUGGUGGUGGAGGAUCUGGGGAUACCCUGGUCAAACUGAAGGCACGAACGGACGCCAAGAAGUGCUCGGACCUCAUCGUGCUCGGUCUACCUUGGAAGACUACCGAGCAGGAGUUGCGCCAAUACUUCGAGGCGUUCGGGGAGGUCCUCAUGGCACAGGUCAAAAAAGACCCAAAAACACAACAGUCAAAGGGGUUCGGUUUUAUUCGGUUCUCCUCGUACGAAAGCCAGAUUCGGGUGCUUUCCAAGCGUCACAUGAUUGACGGUCGAUGGUGUGACGUUAAGAUACCCAAUUCAAGAGAUGGACAAGCUUCAGAACUCAGUCGAAAGGUUUUUGUGGGCCGCUGCACCGAGGAUUUAACGGCCGACGACCUUCGUGACUAUUUCAGCAAGUUUGGUGAAGUCACAGACGUCUUCAUACCAAAGCCAUUUAGGGCCUUCGCCUUUGUAACGUUCGUCGACGCCGAGGUUGCGCAGAGUCUCUGUGGAGAAGAUCACAUUAUUAAAGGUACAUCAAUACACGUUUCAAACGCGGUGCCGAAAAAUGAUCAGGGCGCAGGAUCCGGAGUCGGCGGUUCCGGAGGCGGAGUGGGUGGUCUUGGUGUGGGCGUCGGAGUCGGUCCGGGGGUUGUCGGCGGCGUUGGGGUGGGAACAGUAAUGCACCAUCAUCAUUUAGCUUCUUCAUCGCGCACGAGCCACCCAAUGAUGGCUCAACCUGAUCCUCGUUCACCACUUAGUCGAGGCGGCGGCGGACAUUAUGGUGCAGGAGGUAUGAGCUCAUACUCGUCACAUCAUCCACAUUUGGCGGGUCACCAUCCGCUGCCACCAGGGCCUGCGGGGGGGCAUGUCGCUGCCGGGCACGUGGGAACAGUCCAUUCGUGGACGUCCGCAGCAGCGGGUGCCAGCUCCGCCGGUGGCCGCGAGAUGGGAGGACCCAGCACGUCAGCCGGGGGUGGGGUCGUAGGCGGGCUCAGCCAUCCAGGGGCGACGACUACACCGCCGACGCUCGGCAUGAACGCGCUCAGCUUGGGGGGACCUCCUUCGGCGGCCAGCGCACAGGCAGGCCAACCCUCUAGCUCCCUCCAGCCUAUCAACUCGGCCGUGCUUCAGGCGUUGGGGCAGGCCGGGUAUGGGCUAUUUAGUGGAAACUUCGCAGCUGGAGGUGGGGCCUCUAAUGGGGGCUCCGGGGGGGGCCAUUCCGCCGGUGAAGCGCAUUCGUCGCAUGUAAAUCCCAAUCCGCCAUAUGUGUGGGGUCCCGGAGCGCCUCACGAGUCACCCGGCUGGCAUAAGGCACAUGGCGGUCACGGUGCGCCACAGCCCGGCCAAACAGGCGCCAGUCAGCCUGCUCAGCAACCUCAAAAUGCAGGUGGUGGCCAGCAAGCACCUCAACAGGGACCCCAGCAAGGACAACAACAACAGCAGGCAGGAUCACAGCAGGGCUACACGAUGUCGGUGUCGCCGUAGGUCAAUCAACCCAGAGAAAUCUACACCGUCACUACCAACGACUACUACAGAAACAACAACAACAACAACAGCCUAAACUAGUACUUUUUAACUACUUCAGUAGCGGCCAACGGCAAUGAGGGCAACACGAAGAGACGCGUCGCUAACAAAUCAAGUAAGAAAUUACAGUAUAGACAGCAAAAAUCAUAGAAGUCAGAGCAGAACUAACACCACCACAACACCAACGACGUAAAGAAGCAAAGCUCACCCAAGCCAGAGAAGCAGUCAACGCAAAAAGUCUCCGCAUCUAAUAAAUCGAGCAUGACAAAAGAGGAACCUGAGGACGACAAUGCAAAGAUCUACAACAAUAACAGCAUUGGCAAGACUAACAUAACCAGUACAGUUAGAUGCUUCGUAUUGCUUAAGCAAAACCGAGAUCGUCAACGACCGUCUGAAAAUCGUUCAGAACGAAGGUGUGACGACGAUGUGGCAUGGAAAGAAUAAGGACAACACGCGAAGGCCUCAUCGUACGUUUGCAUUGGAUCAGACGUGACAGAGAUGGGAAAUUUUGAGCUCGGUGUGAGGAGCGCACCAAACGUCGCUAUCACACAAUCGUGCAUCACGUUAGCUAAUCUCUGUUGCUAUUGCUAAUACUGUUAUACUCAUUUGAUUUGUAUCAAACCUUAUAAACCCAGUAGUGGUACUGCACGAAAAUAUACUUGGCUGGAUAAACCCCACACAUCCACAGCAUAGAAGUCCGAAAGUGCUUCAUAGGGGUCCGGUUAAGGCAAACAUACGCGCAAAAUCUCUACAGGAUAUAGGCACAUGGCGAUAGGAGGUAUUAUAUAUAUACAGACAAUAGAAACAGAAACAACAUAAAAUAAUCAAAGAAAGUACGAGAAUAGCUGAACUACUUGCGUACGCUCGAAACCUAUUGGCCAACAACAUUUGAACCUAAUGACACCUGUUAGAAUAUCAAAGAUGCAUAUGUUUAGGCGAACGACAAUUGAUGGGGCUCACAUUGUUUACACCUUGCUAGCAAAAAAGUACGCACUCACCAAUAACAAUGAUAACUAUGUUUAUUGAAAUUAUAGACUUCUUAUAUAUUGGUAUUCGAGAAAGAUGCGCGAGUACCCGUCGCACUAUUGAUCGGCGAUGGUCAGGUCUUAAUCAUGCACACUCACUGAAAUAUAUAUAUAAACAGGAGAAACAAUGCUCCACACAAUUGAUCACACGUGUAGAGAAAGAGCGCGCUCGUUGCUGCAGAUUUUGAAAUAGGAUAUACGAGGCAUAUAUCAGAUAAGAUAUAGGACACAUAGGGUAUGAAGGACCUUUGUGUUGCUGUUAUUGCUAUUUAUUUAAUAUGAAGUUUAAGCAGAGAAAACUGUUCGGGCGAACUACUACACCAGAAGCGUAAACGGGUGCUUUUCAACCGGUGAACUUCAGCUACCUUAGCGUAUUGCUAGUAACAUUAUUUGCGUAGGCACUGUACUGGUGAUCUUGCAGUUCUCUGGUGAUUCGCUCUGCGCACUCUACUUGUUCUGUAGAGGAUAAGCAUAGUCGCAGCGAAACAGCAGGACCUCAUCCUUAAAAAGCUCUAGGCGAUGAUUGUUGAGCUAUACAAAAACCGGUGGCAUCGCCUAGCCUUGGAUAGCUUCCUAGAGUUGAGUCGACAAAAUCGUGCUUCGUUCUUUAGUUGACAUCGUUCGACGUGUAUGAAUUGGAGGGCAGCGAAGAAACAGUACGUAGCUUAUCAGCUAAACGAUAAUAGGUUAAUUCUAUCUAGAAAUUAAUUUUGAUGUUGUUGUACGGUAAACAAGAAUCGUUAGUGCUGAGCAAGGAAAUCGGAGAGAGCGAGCAGGGAACAGACGUUGUGAGCAUUUCUACGCUCGAUUACCUUGAUCGAGUGAGUCGGACAGAUCGUCCAACGGUGAGCAGCAACCAAGGCGGGCUUGCGAUUGUUCCGCGAGGCCAAAUCACCACCACAACCACCGUCACGAACAACAAAAAUGGCUGCAGGCACUUUUGCAAACGAUGUUGCGAGAAAGAGACACCAGCCACAGGUCGAUUUGCCGAGAUUCCAGUUGCCUCGCAACCACCGAUUUGCAGCGACGGGGUGUGAGUAGAGGGCCGCUUUGCAUCCGUUGUAGUGGCGAUCUCAAAAAGCUACGAGUACCGUCGCAGAAAAGAGUACGGUACUGACGCAACAAAAAGGUAGAUACAGCAAAAGAACAAAGGAACAUACUUGGCUACGCAUAUAUAGAAUUGAAAUGGACCAAAUAGACGGGGGCGGAUAGUAGGGAAAAAGGCCUCAACAGCCAGUCAGACAUCAAACAUAUAGUGGAGGCACUUUAUUGUGAAUGGAUGUGAGACUGAACGAUGGUUAUCAACUUGGACGGGAUUGUUGAGAUCGAGUGAGAGUUGAUCGAAGACAAAAGGUCAGGCGUCAUGCUGCUUCGGAUCGUCUCGAGCAAAUGACUAGUGCGAUCAACAGACUAUCGAGGAAAAAGGCUUAGUAAACACUGCAUGUGUCCAAUAAAGCUUUCGUUAUUAAGCGAGCCGUGGCCAUGUACAAGCGGCCUUUGUUUUGACAGAAGGGAGCAGAAAAUGUGACUGAAAUUCACAAUAUCAGAGGCAUUAAAUUAGUCAGAGAUUGAGAUUAAUUGAUGAUGGUUAAAGGACCGGACCGGGUUACUCAUUUGAUCUCGAUAGGUUUCUACUAAUGGCACUCAAAAGCCAAGGCAUGCCUGGUGUUAACAUUUGAUAACAAACCCAUUAUCGUCGCUACUAAACCAAUUGGCUGGCAGAACUAUCAAGGGCUUGUGCCUUCAUCAUGUUUUUUCGUAUAGAGAUCAUGUAUGGCAAAAACAAGAGGAUAGAAAAGACGAACGAUAAGUUGCACUAUACUGUUUGUUGGAAGGUGUAUACAGGCGGCGAAUGUCGAAGCAUUCUUGUGCUGAGCAGCGUGUUGAAAUGAUGAAUGAUACAUGUGAUCAAGUGAGUAAUUGUGGACGCUUUCGAGUUCUGAUGGAAUAGAUCGAGUUCGAUUCAUGUUCAUUUGGCUAAUUCUUUGGCUCGUAUUUUUGCCCUCUAAGUACUGCUUUGCUUGAAACGCCGCGGCCGCUAUAAAACAAGAGGCUCCUCUGACAACAACAGCAGCUUUUCCCAAGCUGCACAAUGAGAUUCUAGUUCACUGAGGAUUGGCUACGAAAUCUGGGCAUGCGUGUGCGCACGGAUGCGUUCCCUUCGCCGGGGCCGACUUAAAAAGUUCGACACAGAAGGCUGUUUCAGCCACGACUGCCUGAAGGCGGUACGCGAUGCGUCUAAUCCAGCCAGGACACAACGCUGAAUAAUGCGUUGAAGGUCAAAAGUAAUUUUUGUUGAUGAUAUACAUUGCUGAGAAUAAAACGAAUAAUGACAAAAUAACGAGGCGGAUUCGUGACAGCCCACAUUGUUAUUACGACGAAGCCAACUGCGUUUUCGCACCGCAACGGAAACGUAAACUGACACGAGUACCGAAGGGGAUCAGAGCUUUGAAAUCAUAGCGCGACAAGAAACGACGAAGCAAUGAAGCAGCUUGUCAAAUAACAUGCGGAGGCGGAAAUAUAAGUGAGCUAACAGUAGCCGCAAUGUUCUACGACUGACUGCAGGAGACGUCUCGAACGUAGGGAUAACCUAUUCUUGAGAUGGUGAUAGCAGAGGAAAGGAAAACACUAAUAAACAAUGUUAAUAACGAUUUAAAGGACGCAAAUGCCGACCAGAAUGGACUAAACAUGACCACUGAUUAAUAAAUGAGAAUGAGCUCUAGCUCGGAGACGUGGGCACAUGUGUACUACACGUGAUACCGUAUGAAUGUGUGUGUCGUUAAUGGGUGCGUAUGUGUUUGUGUAUGAAUGAAUGUGAUUGUUUUUGUUGUCUGCGUCCUAUUGGCUGGCCGCGGACAAACUAAUGACUCGGGCAAACAAACAACUGUUUGCCGAAAUCGCGUCAAAGGAAGCUGCUGACAGGAGGGAAUAAUGGUGGAACUAUUGGCGAGUUUUGAUUUUGAAAUUCUUCUACUGUAUAGUAAUGACAGUGUGCAGACCAUUCGUUUGCACGUCAAGAUUCACAGGAUCAUAGCCUGUCUCUAGCGCGUAUAGCAACAAUAAAGGGCUUUGCCAACGGUGCAAUUUUAUAGAAAUACCGAAUGGCUUUAAAAACUUAAAGACCUUGACACGGCACCGAAGAAGCAUCGUAUCUUUAGCUACGAAUCAUAAUAAUAAUAGUGAAAGGUUUAAGCAAAUUUGUUGUGUUGCUGAUACGUUGUUGGCGGCGCCUGAGAGGGAAUCAACACCUGAAAAUUAUGCGCUUUGCUACGCUAUGUAAACAGAUUAUAUGAGUAAAAUACGAAACACGUUUUUGCGCAUAUACAGAAGGAGCAAACAAAAUUACGUGAGUCUGCUGAAUGCUACAAGUCAAAGUUAAUUAGGGAACAAAUAAAACACUAUUCGAGAUGAUCGACCGUUUCCCCGGUUAGAAAAACUGAUAGCAAAAGUAACAAUUUCACGCCGUAUUGCCCGCUACUACCACUACAGCUACCUCUGCUCCACUGCUGCGGUGAAGGAUGAGAGUACGCGCGUAAAUGUUCCGCGUGUGAAUGUGUAUGUUUGCGGGGCUGAAUUUAACUAUGUCCGUACGUUUGGCUGUGACUGUGUAAGUGGGCGUUGGGAUGUCAACGACACCUUUGUUGAUGAUGACGACGACGACGACGACGACGACGGUUAUUCACGAUGAAGCGGAUAAGGAAAGAAAAACAACCGCUGGAAAUUCUGAAAAACGCAGUGGGACGCUAGAGGACUAAGAUUUAAAAUAAUAACAAUUUUAAAAAUAAUAAUGAGGUUUAUGAAAAGACGCUAACGAAACGCCCGUAGCUGACGACGUAGAGAACGUCAGAGUAAACGAGAAGAGAAGAGUCUAUAAUCAUUAUACGAUCAUAUGACGGUGAUGAUAUUAAAAAGAAAAUGAUAAUAACAGUGAUGACGACGCGCGUUUUUUUGAAGUGAGCGAGUGAUAGAAAAAACUAAACACAAGUAGGUGGAGACGUCAGGCAGAUCGAAAGCGAGACAAUGUGUGCGGAGAGUGCAGUAAUUCGUAGAUGAAAAGGAGAUGAUAGCGGGGAUGAUGCGUAAAUACGAUUUAAAUACACGAUCGAAUUAGUUGGUUCGAUCCCGGUGAAGGUGUUAGGUGUAAUUUAUUUGAUAAUACGAUGAUAAUAAUAAAGAAGAAUAUUAUGAUGAUAACGACGAUGGCGAAGUUAAGCGUGAAGCUGACGAUGAUAAUAGUAAUAAUAAUAAUGAUAAAAACAAUAAUGACGAUUAUAUAUAUAUAUAUAUGGUGGA